rnacentral:tRNA from 1 species
ACCCUGCUAGCUUAGUUGGUAGAGCAUGAGACUCAUAAUCUCAGGGUUUUAUGUUCGACCCCCAUGUUGGGUG